UACGUAGGGGGCAAGCGUUGUCCGGAUUUACUGGGCGUAAAGAGCGUGUAGGCGGUCAGGCAUGUCCGUUGUGAAAACUGGAGGCUUAACCUCCAGACGUCGACGGAAACCGCGUGGCUAGAGUCCAGAAGAGGAGAGUGGAAUUCCUGGUGUAGCGGUGAAAUGCGCAGAUAUCAGGAAGAACACCAAUGGCGAAGGCAGCUCUCUGGGACGGUACUGACGCUUAGACGCGAAAGCGUGGGGAGCGAACAGG
rnacentral:rRNA from 1 species